UACGUAGGGGGCAAGCGUUAUCCGGAUUUACUGGGUGUAAAGGGAGCGCAGACGGCAGUGCAAGUCUGGAGUGAAAGCCCGGGGCCCAACCCCGGGACUGCUCUGGAAACUGUACGGCUAGAGUACGGGAGGGGCAGGCGGAAUUCCUAGUGUAGCGGUGAAAUGCGUAGAUAUUAGGAGGAACACCGGCGGCGAAGGCGGCCUGCUGGACCGAAACUGACGUUGAGGCUCGAAAGUGUGGGGAGCAAACAGG
rnacentral:rRNA from 1 species